GCCACAAAUCCGAAAUUCCUCAUCCAUUUAUGGCUCUGCUCAACGUAAGCCAUUAACACUGGGUGAGGAAAGUGGAUUACACUGCUACCCACUAGCCAAGUAAUUGAAGUUCCAAAUUUCCACCGCCCCACCAACCGUCAAUUGAAGUUACUCGAAGCAAACAACGAAAAACGCACUUCUAUUUUUGGUUCAGCGAUUAAAGAAGAGCCAAUCGGACGCCCAUUUUGUCUCAUCUUCAAAAGGAAUCAUGGGUUCGAAUCAAAACCCUCCCUCUGGUUUAUAAUCCGAAGCUGAACUACUGAAUUCUUCAUAAUCCGAAGCGGAACAAUCAAAAUGGCUGUUCUCCGCUCACUUUCCAUGCUUGGUUUGCCGCUUAAUUCUCCAUCUGCUGUUUAUAAUUCCCAUUUUGACUUGGAUUUUGGGUGCAAAACCCCUCUGUAUUUUCAUUUGAGUAACAAAAAAAUUGUAGAUAGGAACAAACCCAGAUGCCAAAAACCCAGAAAUUUGCAAGCUAAAUUUCUUGAUACAGGCUUCUCUGGGGUGAAUUUGAGAAGUGAAAAGUUCAUCGUGAGGACAAAAUCUGUAUUGAGCGUUGAUGAAGCUGUGGAGAGCGACGGCGAUAGAACAGCAGGAGGAAGCGAGGAGAAGAGCCAUUAUGAUGCUAUUGUUAUUGGGUCAGGUAUUGGGGGCUUAGUUGCUUCUACUCAAUUAGCAGUGAAAGGAGCUAAGGUGUUGGUUUUGGAGAAGUAUGUGAUUCCUGGUGGGAGCUCUGGUUAUUAUCAGAGGGAUGGCUAUACUUUUGAUGUUGGAUCUUCUGUAAUGUUUGGUUUCAGUGAUAAGGGAAAUCUAAAUUUAAUUACACAAGCUUUGUCAGCCGUCGGUUGUGAGAUGCAAGUGAUUCCCGAUCCAACCACUGUUCAUUUCCAUCUACCUACGAAUCUUUCGGUAAGGAUUCACCGAGAAUACAGUGAAUUUAUCGAAGAACUUGUUAGCAAUUUUCCCCAUGAAAGAGAAGGAGUCCUCAAAUUCUAUGGAGCCUGUUGGAAGAUAUUCAAUGCUUUAAACUCAUUGGAAUUAAAAUCGCUGGAGGAGCCGAUAUACCUUUUCGGACAGUUCUUUCAGAAGCCUCUUGAAUGCCUGACACUUGCGUACUACUUGCCUCAAAAUGCUGGAGACGUGGCUCGGAAGUACAUUAAGGAUCCCCGUCUAUUGUCGUUUAUUGAUGCAGAGUGUUUUAUCGUUAGCACGGUGAAUGCUUUGCAAACACCAAUGAUAAAUGCAGCCAUGGUUUUAUGUGACAGGCAUUUUGGUGGGAUAAACUACCCUAUUGGUGGUGUUGGUGGAAUUGCAAUGUCCCUGGCAAAGGGUCUCGUUGAUCAGGGCAGCUCGAUAAUGUAUAAAGCUAACGUAACGAAGAUAAUAACCGAAAAUGGAAAAGCUGUAGGUGUGAAGCUGUCUGAUGGAAGGGAGUUCUUUGCUAAAACUAUAGUAUCAAAUGCUACCAGAUGGGAUACCUUUGGAAAGCUGUUAAAAGGAGUGGACCUUCCCAAGGAAGAGGAGAACUUUCAGAAACUUUAUGUUAAGGCCCCAUCUUUUCUUUCAAUUCAUAUGGGGGUGAAAGCUGAGGUUUUACCGCCUGACACAGAUUGUCACCACUUUGUUCUUGAGAGUGAUUGGAGAAGGUUAGAGGAGCCCUAUGGAAGCAUCUUUCUGAGCAUCCCGACUGUUCUCGAUGCAUCGUUGGCUCCGGAGGGACGUCAUAUCCUUCACAUUUUUACCACUUCUUCCAUAGAGGAUUGGGAGGGGCUCUCCAGAAAAGAAUACGAAGAGAAGAAGGAGCAAAUUGCAAAUGAAAUCAUUUCUAGACUAGAGAAGAAAUUAUUUCCCGGCUUAAAAUCAUCUAUUGAUUUUAUGGAGAUUGGGACACCGAAGACACACAGACGAUUCCUAGCUCGUAAUAAUGGUACCUAUGGACCGAUGCCACGGGGAACCCCUAAGGGAUUACUUGGAAUGCCAUUUAAUACAACUGGUAUAGAUGGGCUGUAUUGUGUCGGUGAUAGCUGCUUUCCCGGACAAGGAGUAAUAGCUGUAGCCUUUUCCGGAGUGAUGUGUGCGCAUCGAGUAGCUGCUGAUAUCGGGCUUGAAAAGAAGUCCCCCAUUUUGGAUGCUGCUCUUCUUCGGCUACUCGGUUGGUUAAGGACCUUGGCUUGAGUUCAUGGCGCCGUAAAUGUUUUACAUGAUCUGCUGUAAAAGGAAGAACAGAAAGGUGCUGCCAACAUUUUAUGUUCAUGGAUUUGGAACUAAACCUCUACUGUUAAAGGCUACUAUAUUUAGCUGUUUAAAUGUUCUAGCUAGAUGAUGCACCUCCAGGAGCAAGCCAUACCGACGAUAACACGUCCCCGUUCGGCCUUCGAUGCUAUCACCGUCUCCAAAAGUUUCAUCCUCCUCAACGAAAUGUAAGCUAAGAGACGAUACCCGAAAGCCAUGGCGAUUAGAGCAGUAACUUCGACUACUCCGUUGUCCAUUUUCAUACCCUUUACGGUAGGUAGGAUGUUGUUGUACUGCACCUUUAGGAGAAGCUUGUAUGUGUGAUAGUUGAAUGACACGAAACGGAUCCAAGACACGAACACCGGAACUUUCUGCAAAAAAAUGAUAUGAUAUGUGAAUACUUUACCAUACGUCUUAACGUUUUCAAGGUUAAAAUUCGAGUCUCAUAGUAUAUCACUCAUUCCAUCUUGUUA